GACGAACGCUGGCGGCGUGCUUAACACAUGCAAGUCGAGCGGUAAGGCCCUUUCGGGGGUACACGAGCGGCGAACGGGUGAGUAACACGUGGGUGACCUGCCCUUAGCUCUGGGAUAAGCCUGGGAAACUGGGUCUAAUACCGGAUAUGACUCCAUGACGCAUGUUGUGGGGUGGAAAGCCUUGUGCGGCUAGGGAUGGGCCCGCGGCCUAUCAGCUUGUUGGUGGGGUGAUGGCCACCAAGGCGACGACGGGUAGCCGGCCUGAGAGGGCGACCGGCCACACU
rnacentral:rRNA from 1 species